AGAUUGAACGCUGGCGGCAUGCCUAACACAUGCAAGUCGAACGGGAGUAGCAAUACUCUAGUGGCGGACGGGUGAGGAAUACGUAGGAAUUUGCCCUUAAGUGGGGGAUAACCCGGGGAAACCCGGAUUAAUACCGCAUGACUCGAAGAGCAAAGUGGGGAUCGCAAGACCUCACGCUUUGGAGAAGCCUACGUCGGAUUAGCUAGUUGGUGAGGUAAUGGCUCACCAAGGCCGACGACUCCGUAACUGGUCUGAGAGGAUGAUCAGUCACACCGACUAGAGACGACCGGUCCGGACUCCGUACGGGACGGCA
rnacentral:rRNA from 1 species